rnacentral:rRNA from 1 species
AGAGUUUGAUCAUGGCUCAGAUUGAACGCUGGCGGAAUGCUUUACACAUGCAAGUCGAACGGCAGCAUAGGUGCUUGCACCUGAUGGCGAGUGGCGAACGGGUGAGUAAUACAUCGGAACGUGCCCAGUCGUGGGGGAUAACGUAGCGAAAGUUACGCUAAUACCGCAUACGAUCUACGGAUGAAAGCGGGGGACCGUAAGGCCUCGCGCGAUUGGAGCGGCCGAUGUUAGAUUAGGUAGUUGGUGAGGUAAAGGCUCACCAAGCCGACGAUCUAUAGCUGGUCUGAGAGGAUGAUCAGCCACACUGGGACUGAGACACGGCCCAGACUCCUACGGGAGGCAGCAGUGGGGAAUUUUGGACAAUGGGCGCAAGCCUGAUCCAGCCAUUCCGCGUGCAGGACGAAGGCCUUCGGGUUGUAAACUGCUUUUGUACAGAACGAAAAGCUCUGGGUUAAUACCCUGGGGUCAUGACGGUACUGUAAGAAUAAGCACCGGCUAACUACGUGCCAGCAGCCGCGGUAAU